CUAGGAGAGAAGAGUGCAGGAUCAGCUUUGUCUUAAAGGGGCCUGGGCGCCUUGGGGAGAGCUGGGGACCAGGAAGCAGACCUCGGUGGCUGACGGUGUCUCAGGCCGAUCCUGGGCUGAUCACACUCCUGUAUAGAGUCACUAAGGUCAGUGAACUCAAGGGGGUUGGUGCCAACUUUAAGCUUGUGAAGCCGUCCCUCCGGCUCCGAGAGGCUGCGGCAGGAAAGGAAGCUAGUGAACUCAAGGCCAGCCUGGACCGUAUAGUGCGACCAUUUCACGGAGCCAAAACUGAAGGCCAGGUAUGGUGGUGUUCACCCACGGGGCCAACACCUGGGAGGCAGAGGCACACGGAUCAGGAGUUCAAGCUCGUCCUCAGCUCCAAAGGGGCCAGCCUGGGCGUUGAGACCUUACUUCAAUAAUAAACAACAACCAAAUGA